rnacentral:lncRNA from 1 species
UAUAUUUUCUUGUGUCUCCUUCUGCUAAACCCUGCAUCCCUGGGUAGAUGUUUCCAACACGUUUUUACUGUGUGUGUGCGUGUCUGGUAAGCUUUGCCAAUACAAUCUAGCUCUUCAGUGUUUCAAGAGAGUAGUUCUCUUAAGCUGUGGAAAAAUGGCAACAAUUAGAAGUUUUAUCAUCCGGCUGGCUCUAAAGGGAGACUGUAAGUGCUGACACGAACAGAAAGGAGAAGAAAGCCAAAUAAGCAAGAGUGAGAGGAAGAAGUUUGAUUUUUACUCUUCAGCCCUUAGGCAUUGAAUUAAGAUGUGGCUGAUCUUUGGUUUAUGGAGAUGGGCAAGGGCAUUAGAAAGGCAAGUGAAUUUUGUCUCUAGGUGAUCAACUAGGACAUUUCUAGAAAUACCCUAUACAUUUCUAGGCCUGGAACGGUCAGUUCAUUGAUUCAUUUUUUCAGUCAAUAGGUAUUUAUUUUCAUAUCAACAGAUAUUUCUUAUGUGCUGGGGUUACUGUAGUAAACAAGAGGGAGGCUAGACUUCAUGGACUACCCUGGGGGGAGAGAAAGCAAACAAGUAAACAUAUGAACGUGAAAUAUAAUUUCAGGUUAGGGAGAGAGAAUGAGGAAAAGCGAUUAAGUGGAAACCUGAAUCAAGUGCAGGAUGCAACCUGAUGGAAACCUGGAAGAGGGAGAGAGUAUGGAGGGAAGGAAAGCAGGAAGAGAGCCACAGGGGCUCAGUCUGGGAGGAUGCUGAUCUCAGCUGGCUGGGCAACCUUGUAAGGAUUUGCACGAGCAUGCCUCAGACCUUGGUGUUUUGGGGACACCGUGUCUUGGCCUGCCCUUUCAUCAUUCUGUAGACACUGCUGAUGCUGCUCCUUGAGGAGGCCAGGGUUUAUGCCUUUCACAGCAACAGGGUAAGUACACAGUCACUUCUUUACAAAUUGAUUUAAAAUCUUGGUCUCUUUAAAGUUGAAUUUCUAAAUGUGAUGUUUUUCACCUACCACUGAGGGGUGGUUCUCGGACCUUAGCUGAAAGGUUUGUUGUAAAAGACAUUGCUGGGCCCUGUUCCCCAGAGUUUCUGCCUCUGAUUCUGUUAGAAUUUUCAUUUGUACCAAGUUCCUAGAUGCUACUGCUGACCCAGGGACCACCGUUGGAGGACUGCUCCAGAGCAUGGAAUCAUCUUUCUUGGAUUCUUAGUAUAUGAUAAAAACAAGUCUAUACUUUAUAUUUUUUGAGAAAUUAAGUGGUGUCUUUUUUUUUGCAACCCAAGUACCAGACUUUACCGUUGGUUAGUAAGUCAAGCAAAUGUAAUAACCACUUCUGUAAGUGUUAUAUGCUUUAAAGAUAGUCAACCACAAUGGAGUGCCCAGGUAUAAACUAUGGUUUAUU